rnacentral:rRNA from 1 species
UACAGGCUUAACACAUGCAAGUCGAGGGGCAGCAUGGUCUUAGCUUGCUAAGGCCGAUGGCGACCGGCGCACGGGUGAGUAACACGUAUCCAACCUGCCGUCUACUCUUGGACAGCCUUCUGAAAGGAAGAUUAAUACAAGAUGGCAUCAUGAGUCCGCAUGUUCACAUGAUUAAAGGUAUUCCGGUAGACGAUGGGGAUGCGUUCCAUUAGAUAGUAGGCGGGGUAACGGCCCACCUAGUCUUCGAUGGAUAGGGGUUCUGAGAGGAAGGUCCCCCACAUUGGAACUGAGACACGGUCCAAACUCCUACGGGAGGCAGCAGUGAGGAAUAUUGGUCAAUGGGCGAGAGCCUGAACCAGCCAAGUAGCGUGAAGGAUGACUGCCCUAUGGGUUGUAAACUUCUUUUAUAAAGGAAUAAAGUCGGGUAUGGAUACCCGUUUGCAUGUACUUUAUGAAUAAGGAUCGGCUAACUCCGUGCCAGCAGCCGCGGUAAUACGGAGGAUCCGAGCGUUAUCCGGAUUUAUUGGGUUUAAAGGGAGCGUAGAUGGAUGUUUAAGUCAGUUGUGAAAGUUUGCGGCUCAACCGUAAAAUUGCAGUUGAUACUGGAUAUCUUGAGUGCAGUUGAGGCAGGCGGAAUUCGUGGUGUAGCGGUGAAAUGCUUAGAUAUCACGAAGAACUCCGAUUGCGAAGGCAGCCUGCUAAGCUGCAACUGACAUUGAGGCUCGAAAGUGUGGGUAUCAAACAGGAUUAGAUACCCUGGUAGUCCACACGGUAAACGAUGAAUACUCGCUGUUUGCGAUAUACUGCAAGCGGCCAAGCGAAAGCGUUAAGUAUUCCACCUGGGGAGUACGCCGGCAACGGUGAAACUCAAAGGAAUUGACGGGGGCCCGCACAAGCGGAGGAACAUGUGGUUUAAUUCGAUGAUACGCGAGGAACCUUACCCGGGCUUAAAUUGCAGAUGAAUUACGGUGAAAGCCGUAAGCCGCAAGGCAUCUGUGAAGGUGCUGCAUGGUUGUCGUCAGCUCGUGCCGUGAGGUGUCGGCUUAAGUGCCAUAACGAGCGCAACCCUCGUUGUCAGUUACUAACAGGUUCCGCUGAGGACUCUGACAAGACUGCCAUCGUAAGAUGUGAGGAAGGUGGGGAUGACGUCAAAUCAGCACGGCCCUUACGUCCGGGGCUACACACGUGUUACAAUGGGGGGUACAGAGGGCCGCUACCACGCGAGUGGAUGCCAAUCCCCAAAACCUCUCUCAGUUCGGACUGGAGUCUGCAACCCGACUCCACGAAGCUGGAUUCGCUAGUAAUCGCGCAUCAGCCACGGCGCGGUGAAUACGUUCCCGGGCCUUGUACACACCGCCCGUCAAGCCAUGGGAGCCGGGGGUACCUGAAGUGCGUAACCGCGAGGAGCGCCCUAGGGUAAAACUGGUGACUGGGGCU